ACAGAGGGGGCGAGCGUUGUUCGGAAUUACUGGGCGUAAAGGGCGCGUAGGCGGCCUGCUAUGUCGAACGUGAAAUCCCCGGGCUCAACCCGGGAACUGCGUCCGAAACUGGCAGGCUCGAAUCCGGGAGAGGGAUGUGGAAUUCCAGGUGUAGCGGUGAAAUGCGUAGAGAUGCGGAGGAACACCGAUGGCGAAGGCAGCCCCCUGGGCUAGCACUGACGCUCAGGCACGAAAGCGUGGGGAGCAAACAGGA
rnacentral:rRNA from 1 species